UGGGGAAUUUUGGACAAUGGGCGAAAGCCUGAUCCAGCAAUGCCGCGUGUGUGAAGAAGGCCUUCGGGUUGUAAAGCACUUUUGUCCGGAAAGAAAUCCUCUGGGUUAAUACCUCGGGGGGAUGACGGUACCGGAAGAAUAAGCACCGGCUAACUACGUGCCAGCAGCCGCGGUAAUACGUAGGGUGCAAGCGUUAAUCGGAAUUACUGGGCGUAAAGCGUGCGCAGGCGGUUUUGUAAGACGGAUGUGAAAUCCCCGGGCUUAACCUGGGAACUGCAUUCGUGACUGCAAGGCUAGAGUAUGGCAGAGGGGGUAGAAUUCCACGUGUAGCAGUGAAAUGCGUAGAGAUGUGGAGGAAUACCGAUGGCGAAGGCAGCCCCUGGGCCAAUACUGACGCUCAUGCACGAAAGCGUGGGGAGCAAACAGGAUUAGAUACCCUGGUAGUCCACGCCCUAAACGAUGUCAACUAGUUGUUGGGGAUUCAUUUCCUUAGUAACGUAGCUAACGCGUGAAGUUGACCGCCUGGGGAGUACGGUCGCAAGAUUAAAACUCAAAUGAAUUGACGGGGUCAUAGCUG
rnacentral:rRNA from 1 species